GUGAGUCCCAGAGGCGCAGCCCGCCCGGCCCUUAUCCCUCCUCCCGCGCCCCCGCGCUCCCUUGCCGGGGGUUCUAGGCCGGGCGAGGGGCGGGGGCGAGGACGCUGUCCUGCGCGGACACCGACUGUGCGCUAGAGUCUGCCGAGGGGCGGGGGUGGUCUGGGGGCUCCGGAGGUGCUCACUGUUCCGGGGAUGAGGAUGUGAUGCUUGGAGCUGCAGCAGCCAUCAGACAACCAAGAGGAGAAGACCAGGAACAGAGCAGAGAGACCAGUCCAGAUUCCUGCCAUUGCUGACCUGGACCCAGCGCCGAUAAACGCCUUUCUCUUAUUCAGUCAAACAGGCAAAAAGCCCUCACUGUCGUUUAAGCUCCUUUGGGUUGAAUGUUCUGUUACUUGCAGUCCAAACAUCUGUGUAUCAUAGUGUGUUUAGAUCAGCUUUCUCCAGACUGUUGUUUAGAAUAUUAGUGGUAAAUGUUUCUGUAAAAGAAAAGUCAAUUUUAGUGAUAUAUGUAUAUAUUUUUAAAAAUAAAAAUGUGUUAUCCCUGCCCCGCCCCGCCCCGGGCGUGACCUCUGGGCACUGAGCCUCUGUUUCUGGCGACCGCCACGAUGCGGUCUCUUCUCUUUAGGGAGGGGGAAGUUGGGAAGAAACUCCUUGAGGGCUUCUCCAGGAUGACCCGUGAGCCAGGAUACCUGCAGAACGGGCUGGGACCGAGCUCUCGAGAACCUCCCUGUGACGUCCGUCCAUUCCAUCAGCCCUACGUACGCACUGCGCAGCCCGGAGCGUGGCCGUGGGAGGACGGGCAAAGAAAGGCACUCCCAUCAGGGAGAUGUCUGGAGCACCGGCCCCUCUGACAGCGAGUUGGGGACAUCCCACGGAUCAUGGAUGCAGCUGUGGAUGGAGGCACCGAGAACACAGCCAGGAAGAGGGGCAGCCUCCCCACCCCGUCAUUUGGUGGACUUGUGUGGCAGUUCUCUGCGUCGUGUGUUAAUCCUGGCAUGGGCGGCAUGCACACCGACAGUGGGCAGGAACGGGGUGAUGGUGGUGAUCGCUGCCACUGUAUUAGCAGAAGUGACCGUCCCGAAGCUCUUCUCCCGGGGCCUUUCUCACCCACCCCUGCCCAGACUGAGACCUGCCCGCGGGUCUCCGAGGGCUCUCUCAGGAAGCAAGCAGACUCCCGACAGGUCGGGGUGCCUGAGUGAUGGCGGCACUUGUCCAGUGGGUGGCCUUCCUCGUGGUCACUUGGAUUCUCCUCCUGCCUGGGAAGCGGGACCGUGCAAAGCCAGCCCUGGCACUGUGGGGACGACUUGGCUCACACAUGAGUCACCGGAGGAAAGCCGGGCCUGGAGACGAGGUCCCCCCAGUGAAAGUUGACGCUGUGACACCCGUGGGUGACUUUGUCGAAUGGCUAGUGAAAAACUGACUCAUUUGCUGCCCACAGAUGUGGCACCGUGUGCACAUACGUGUGGUCACCUGCUGGGGCCGUGGGGUGAUGUUCUGGUCCCUUCUGUAGUCAGCAAGCCGGCAGUGGAGCUUCGAAUGAAGACUGGCGGGAGAGUCCCCCGGCCCUGGGAACUGAAGGCUUCCGCAUUCGUCAAAAGACCACUUUUUGUGAAGCAAAGUGCCUUUCGAUUUUGAGUCACAGAAUGGAAGUUUUUGUUUCAUGUCUCGGAUUGAUUUUGUAUUUUUUGACACUUCACACUUAUUUCCUUUGUGUGUUUUAACUCAUGCACAUAUGCUCUUUGAAUAGCAUUAGACCUUUAAUAAAAGUCAG
rnacentral:lncRNA from 1 species